rnacentral:lncRNA from 1 species
CUGCUGCAGCCUUUCUUGAAGAUCUGUUGAUGGAGAUCUCACCCGCACCUCAAACGACCUCAGAUCAACUCCAGAUCUGAGAGGGACUUGUACCAAUCUCUUCUCAAGAGAUUUCAGGUCCUGGACCUAGUGUUUGGAUGACUGCAAGAGAGGAGGGGAGCAAUCUGGUUGGCGGCUGCAAGGAGGAAGGGGCUAGCGCCUCCCUUCUUUCUUUCCUUAUCUGGACCUGGCGGCAAGAAACCCUAGGGUUUCUUGCUUCUGGGGCAU